AUUAAUGUAGAUGGCCGACAAUGAGUUCCAUUAUAAUCAUUAUUAAUUUAAAUAAGACUUAAUUAAUUAUAAUCGGGUCGGGCUUUUAUAGGGCUUAAAAGUAUAGCCCAAGCCCUACCCAUUAGACCUCGAAGUGGGCCAAGCUAGCCCAUUGUUAUUGGCUGAGUAAGCCCAUAAUUACAAAAAUCAGGCUGAGUUAGGGCCAACCCAUCAGCUUUGGGCUUUAUUUACAGGCCUAGCUGCUAUGUCCAUGUAUGAAAGGGUAGGAUUUUUUGCAAACUGUGGAAAAACCCCAAUAAGGUUAUUCUGGUACAGGCUCAACCUUGAAAGAGAAGAGCAAGUUCCAACAUCAG
rnacentral:lncRNA from 1 species